CCGUGCCCUGCCCAUUUUUAUUUUUUAUGUCAUGUUAAGAACCCUGCCUCAGAAAAAAAUAAACCCCCAGCUCCCAAGACAACGCCUAAUAUCCAUUAGUGAGGUGCUGUGCCAGGAGGAAAAGAAGGGAACAGCUGAGUGCUGGUGCCUUAUGCCAGCCCUGGGGCACAGACAUAAAUAAAGUGGGUUUUCUGUCCUUCCAGGGGCUCCUAUCCCAAGGGAGAGACCACAGAGAGGGCAACAACAGAGGUUCUGACAAAUCCGGGGAAGAGACAGGAACCAAGGAUGCCUUCCCAGAGGAGAUGGCAAUGAGCUGUUUGGGGUGACUGGAACAUAGCACGUGGAACAAGACCUGUUUUAAAUGAACCGCUUUAUUUUUAUGGCAACCAAUUCUUAAUUCAUUCAAUAAUAAUUGAAUUGGGUACCCACUAUGUGCAAGGAAUUGGACUAAGCACAAAUAGAACAGAAAAUAAUCAUCCAAUGUCUCCAACAAGAA